rnacentral:rRNA from 1 species
GUGCCAGCCGCCGCGGUAAUACCGGCAGCCCAAGUGAUGGCCGAUCUUAUUGGGCCUAAAGCGUCCGUAGCUGGCCGACCAAGUCUCCCGGGAAAUCCACCCGCCCAACGGGUGGGCGUCCGGUAGAAACUGGCCGGCUUGGAACCGGAAGGCUCGAAGGGUACGUUCGGGGUAGGAGUGAAAUCCCAUAAUCCCGCACGGACCACCGAUGGCGAAAGCACUUCGAGAGAACGGAUCCGACAGUGAGGGACGAAAGCCAGGGUCUCCAACCGGAUUAGAAACCCGUGUAGUCC